GUUGGGUGUGGUGGCCGGCGCCUGUAAUCCCAGCUACUCAGGAGGCUGAGGCACAAGAAUUGCUUGAACCUGGCAGGCGGAGGUUGUAGUGAGCCGAGAUCGUGCCACUGCACUCCAGCCUGGGACAGAGCAAGACUUUGUCUCAAAAAAAAAAAAAAAAAAUUACAAAUCUGAUAUAUAAUCAUUGGAAAACUUUUUUUUUUUUUUUUUUUUUUGAGAUAGAGUCUCACUCUGUCACCCAGGCUGGAGUGCAGUAGCAUGAUCUUGGCUCACUACAGCCUCUGCCUCCCAAGUUCAAGCAAUCUCCUGCCUCAA
rnacentral:sRNA from 1 species